GCUUCAUGGCUCUUCUCACCCAUUGUGCCUACAUCGUGUGAGAACUGUCCGUUCAGUUCUCCAACAUAGGAUGUUAUGGAACUGGAGCUUCCGGUUCAGCCUGCACAGCAAGUGUUAACUGCUUCAGGUCCAGAGGAAACACAUGAGUCUUUUCAUCACAUUUAGCGUGCAAAGCCUCACAUCCUGUUUGGAUGUCAGGACGAUAGGAGGCCUGGGUCUGAUGAGACCGAAUAGGAAGAUCAAGGUGGGGCACUGGGUGUGGUUAAAUGAAAGUCUAGGUCACUAGGUGACUGGGUGUGAAGCAAAGCUCGGCAGGGUUCUCUUCGCUGACAGGGCUUAGCCACUGCUGUGGUAGAACCUGUGGUCUGAUGGGUAAGAACAAGAAGGCCACUUCCUGUCCCAAGGACCAGGAGGUGAAGACACUUGUGGCUGCAAACUCUGCCUACAAUUAGGCCCUGGGAUGAGUUUGAACCAUGAGUUCCGGAUGUUUCCACCCUCGCUGGCUUCUCAGGGGUGGCCAGCAUUCAUCUUCAUAUCAUUUCUCCUGAUGUGCGGGUUUAAAGGCUGCUUUACGGCACAUUCAGGAGCUCCCACUUGGGUCAGUACUUAGCAAGACCUCCUGGCCACCUUGGAAUGGUGAGGCUGCACCUCUGCUGUGACUGGUGUGACCUCGGAGGGCUGUGUCAUGGGAGGCCUCUCCCCACACUCCAACACUGAUACCCUCUAGGAGCCAGAAACUCCCCAAGUGUACCUGACCAGGGUAAAGUACCGGGUAAGGAGUGGCUGUGACACAACCCCAGCACAACUGAGGAGGCUAUGCUCUUAGGAUUAUUACCUCCCAUUGGGACUGACGGUCACGUGGGUGGGGGCCCGUUACCCUUCCAGCUCAUGCUGGUAGCCUGCCUAUAAGACAUCAACACCUUCUCUCUGAGAGGGUCUCAGGAAUAUUACACAGGCACUUUUCAUUUAUAUAGGUUAUACAUUCCCGGGUCUGAGAGCGUAUUCCGGGCACUCCUAAGACCAUCAUACUUUAUCAGAGAGCAGCAGAGAAGGCGUCAAGAUAGACGGUAUGUGGAAAGGAGCAGGCUGAGUCUUAGGGUAGACUUCCAGGUGUCCCUCUCCUUUGGGACGGGGAGGUAACAGACAUUAACUAAGGCAAGCAGUGGUCUCCAGCUAGCUCUGGGCACCUUGCUAUGCUAGCUGCCUGCUCUGUCAAUCUUCCAAACAACACCUGGCUCCAAGAACAAGUGAGUUUGGGCAACUUAACACUGCCUGUCUGAUACACUGAUCUCUGUAUUAUUAUUGUUGCUACGACUUGUGCUGGCUGGUUUUAUGUCCACUUGACGCCCGCUGCAGUCAUCAGAGGAGGGAACCAACUCAGAAUAUGCCACCGUAAGAUCGGGAUGUAGGCAAGCCGGUUCAGCAUUUUCCUUUAUUAAUAACUGAUGGAAAUGACCCAGUCCGCUGUGGGCAGUGCCAGCCUGGGCUGGUGGUUCUGGGUUCUAUAAGCAGGCUAAGUAAGCCAUGAAAAGCAAGCCAGUAAGCAGCACUCCUCCAUGGCCUCUGCAUGAGCUCCUGCCACACCCCCACCCCGGGUUCCUGUCUCAUGAGUUCCUGACCUGACAUCCUUCAAUGAUGAACAGUCGGUGACAGGGAAGUGUAAGUCAGAUAAGUCCUUUUCCCUCCCCCAAGCUGCUUUUGAUCAUGGCGUUUCACCACGGCAACGGUCACUCUGAUUGACACUACUGUUCUAAUUACCGUCAUCGAAUGUGCUUCUGCAACACAGAGUGUCUUUGUCUGGCCAUAAAGGUCCCGACUUAGCUUGUUUCAUUGGACACAAACACAGCCACCCAUGGUCCCGUGGGUCCUUUAGCACAGUAGAACUCUCUGCCCCUCACUUCAUGCCUUACCCUUAGAGGUGAAGCUUGUCUCUUACAGACAGCGUCAGUUGAAUCCUAUCUGGAAAGCAGCUGCCAUGGGCUCUUUUGGAGAACUUAACCGACAUUAUGCAUGAGGUGUGCUAUGCUAUCUGGAUGUUUGGUCCAACACCAGUCUUACUGUCACCUGAAGCACUUUUGAGAUAAGACUAGCAGAUUGAGCAAUGGAGAUGCCCUCUGUUCUCCGAGGAGCGCCUUACCCGGUCAUUGCAUGCUUAGGAGAAAUGGAGGUGUCUGAGGGAAAGAGAACCCAGACUCCAGGCUCACACCGCACCGCCACCUCUUUGUGGUAGGCUAACACACUUCCUGUGACUGUAGCUGAACACCUGAGCUGGGAAGUUUAUGAAACAUGGAAAAAUUGUUUAUCUCUGAGGAUGGGAAAGUCCAAGGGCAUGGCGCCGGCUGUCUGCAGGGCUGUUGGCACGGCUGUUGGUUGCUGCUUCAGGGAAUAGCCAAAAGCACAGGGCAAGUGAUCCCUACACAAGAUGCAAAACGUGAGGGGUGCACUCACGACGAACCAAGUCCUACAAGAGCUUGCAUGAGAGCAGCACCAACCUCCGAAUGACCAAGUAUGUGCCAUUAGGAACCAAGCCUCCAGGACAGCCUUUCGGGGGAGACUCUAUACCCUAACCAUAACUGGGACCACGCCUCCGUAUAAGUGUUGGAGAACAAUCACAUUCAAAGCUCAGGACCUGGAGCCCCGGCCUGCUGCAUGGUUCAUCUUCAUUGUCAACCUGACUGGAUUUGGAAUUAUCUAGAAGAUGUACCUCUGAAGGGAAGAGCCACCCUGAAUGUGGGAGGCACCAUCUUUAUGCUAAAAUUGAAGAAAGCACGUUGGGGCAGCAACAUUCAUCUUCUUGCUGCUUCUGGACUGAAUGUGACCCAACCUGAGCCAGAAUAAAUCCCUCUCCCUUUAAA